UAAAUACUAAUACCAGAUCGAUAGUGCACAAGUACCGUGAGGGAAAGGUGAAAAGAACUGAGGUGAUCAGAGUGAAAUAGAACCUGAAACCAUUUGCUUACAAUCAUUCAGAGCCCUAUGUAGCAAUACAGGGUGAUGGACUGCCUUUUGCAUAAUGAGCCUGCGAGUUGUGGUGUCUGGCAAGGUUAAGCAAACGCGAAGCCGUAGCGAAAGCGAGUCUGAAUAGGGCGCUUAGUCAGAUGCUGCAGACCCGAAACGAAGUGAUCUAUCCAUGAGCAAGUUGAAGCUAGUGUAAGAACUAGUGGAGGACUGAACCCAUAGGCGUUGAAAAGCCCCGGGAUGACUUGUGGAUAGGGGUGAAAGGCCAAUCAAACUUCGUGAUAGCUGGUUCUCUCCGAAAUAUAUUUAGGUAUAGCGUUGUGUCGUAAUAUAAGGGGGUAGAGCACUGAAUGGGCUAGGGCAUACACCAAUGUACCAAACCCUAUCAAACUCCGAAUACCUUAUAUGUAAUCACAGCAGUCAGGCGGCGAGUGAUAAAAUCCGUCGUCAAGAGGGAAACAACCCAGACUACCAGCUAAGGUCCCUAAAUCUUACUUAAGUGGAAAACGAUGUGAAGUUACUUAAACAACCAGGAGGUUGGCUUAGAAGCAGCCAUCCUUUAAAGAAAGCGUAAUAGCUCACUGGUCUAGUGAUUUUGCGCGGAAAAUAUAACGGGGCUAAAGUAAGUACCGAAGCUGUAGACUUAGUUUACUAAGUGGUAGGAGAGCGUUCUAUUUGCGUCGAAGGUAUACCGGUAAGGAGUGCUGGAGCGAAUAGAAGUGAGCAUGCAGGCAUGAGUAGCGAUAAUUAAUGUGAGAAUCAUUAACGCCGUAAACCCAAGGUUUCCUACGCGAUGCUCGUCAUCGUAGGGUUAGUCGGGUCCUAAGUCGAGUCCGAAAGGGGUAGACGAUGGCAAAUUGGUUAAUAUUCCAAUACCAACAUUAGUGUGCGAUGGAAGGACGCUUAGGGCUAAGGGGGCUAGCGGAUGGAAGUGCUAGUCUAAGGUCGUAGGAGGUUAUACAGGCAAAUCCGUAUAACAAUACUCCGAGAACUGAAAGGCUUUUUGAAGUCUUCGGAUGGAUAGAAGAACCCCUGAUGCCGUCG
rnacentral:rRNA from 1 species